ensembl:lncRNA
GGUGGGUAUGGGGUGAGAGUGAGAGGUGCAGACAGCGGCAUCCGGUCCUGCAGCAUGCUCUGCGCUGGUCUAGUUGACCCACCGUCUGCAUCGGGUGGGAGCGUUUGGGGGUGGGGUGGGGGGUAUAUCAGCCUGCAGUACACUGCAAUAGGUCUGGGCUGCUGGGGGAUUCCUGUGAUGCAUUGAGUAUUUCUUCUUCAAUCACCUUUUCCACCCAUAAUGUGUUUAUACACUUCUCUGCAUUUAAUCAUUAGUUAUUAUUAAUCUCUGGCUCUUAUCCACAACGUCUUUUGUCCUGUCUUCCUCUCCUCACCACAACCGGUAACAGUAGAUGGCUGUAGGUUUCCUCCUAUUAAAAGGGAGAUUUGCUUCCCGCAGUCACCAAAAGUGCUUGGUCAUAGGGGGCAAUAUGAUUGUCGGGGUUUUCUGUGCUUUCUUUGUAUUAUUGUAGGGUAUACCUUACAAUAUGGAGGGCCUAGAGACAAUUGUUGUUGUGAUUUGGUGCUAUAUAAAUAAAACUGAACUGAAUUUAACAUAUAAGCUGCAUUUACUGGCCCAUGAUUUAUUAUUUACUGUGAUGUUUAUGUGUAAGUAAUGUUACACACUAUAUUUCAGAUUUCACACUGGGCUUUGAGAAAAAGCAGGAGACAUAUUGCAUUUUAAAAUUCUUUCGUGUCUCUUAUUCACAAAGCUCAAUUGUUCAUUUUCACUUUAUUUUUUAAGCUAUUACUGACUAGAACUUUCACAAGUUUUCACAAGUGCAGUUAUUACUAUAAAAUCUUUUACAGAGGUUGUCACUCUCAAAUGACUGUCCCUUCGUCCAGAUAGGACCCCUGGAAAAUUCCGUCCAAACAGUGAUUGUUGGAGGAAAUGAGUCUUCGGAAGAUCACGGUUGAUACCACAGUGAAUUUCAUAAAUGUUUAAUAGCAACAGAAAUGUGAUGGAAAAAAUUGGAUCACAACACUUUAGAGCAUCCUUAAAAUAGACACUGCCCUUACUCUGGACCUCAACAAGUUGGAUGAAUAGUAGUUGAGAGGUGAAGGACAGAUACAACUGCAUUAUAAUGAUAUUUUGAAUUAAUAUUCAAAUAUUGGUCAUCAGUAAACUGUAGUAUUUAUUAUUCAUUCUACACUCUCUUCAAAUCUUUAAACUAAAGACAGCACUGUUUCAAGUACACAUGAUUGAAAUAAGCAUAUAUUUAUUAUAGUGUGUUUCUCUACAUUCACCACAAAUUACUCCAUGUUGUCUGCACCCACUGGAAGGCAGCACGGGGGUAAUACAAAACUCUGUCUUGUACACAUGUGAAGACCUGUGAGAACAUGUUUAGCACUGCUUGUUGCAUAUCGGGAAUUUCUGAAGAAGCAUAUUCAGUCUUGCCAUCAUCAACUGUGCAGUUCUCAUAGUCUGUAUGAGAAAAAAAAAGAAUUAGAAACUGUAGAAUGUGCUAUUGCAUUGUACAUUGUGCAUGACAUUGUGUUAUUCUGCUUACAUUAUAAUGUUAAGGAACUGCAGAGAAUAAAAUUACACAAAUCACUCUCACAGUACAUGUUAGCCUUCAUCAUUUUUUUCACAUCUUACCAUGAUCAGAACCAAAGAUCUGUGGUUUGUACAAGUAACGACAAUCUGCUUGUAUCUCAAAUGCCUCCAUCUCAUCAGCAGUGAUGGACGUUCGCUUACCUGUUUAAAACAUGCCACAUUUAAGAUGGAAACCAUAUGAUGGACUAAACUAUCAGUGUAAGCUUCACCCUUUAUAACAACUAUAUUGAUUAAAUGUCAUAAGCUGUUAUAUAAAAACCUGCUAGAUAAGGCAGGUAAGAAAGUGCUGUAAAACAUCUGUAUUGGAAAUAUUUUCUGUCAUCACUCAGACUGGUGGUACGAAAUGAAUUAUCUGAACAUAUUAAACAUAACAUGAAACUUAGUUUUCCUGAGGACAAAUUAUAUUGAUUAUGAUCCCGUAACUUUUCCUCUUGUCCCAUCAGGUGGUCACUUUGGUUAUUUAUGCCUGCCAGACUACUACACUUCACAACUGUAGUUAGUGCUAAUUUCAUUUUUCUCACUUAUAUCUCAGUCAGCAUCCUGUGUUUGCUUUUAAUAAACAAAUGCUGUCUGUAUGCUUAUAUCCUGAAUAAUUAGUAUGGUUAUCACUGUGUCAGUAUACACCGUUUCUAUCAGUUGCUCCUAUUUGUGAACUUUUCAUGUAUAUAAAUUAUAUCAUCACCAUUCAUCAUCAUAUUUUUGGGUAAUCUUGCAUCCACAUUUUUUGUAGAUAUUAGUGAAUGAGAUCCAAUUUCAUCUUACUCUGCUGGUGUUAUGAGUGAUUGCAGUACUGCAACCUUUAUAUCUUCAAUUUACCUCAUUGCACAUCUCACUCUAGAAAUAUUUUUUUUAUCACUUCCUACACUGGAAAAUGAUGAAUAAUGACUAGACAAGGAUGUUAGUCCCCAUUAAACAUAGUUAUUCUUCCUGAGUGCAUCAGCAGGAUGUCAGACUGUCUAUUUUAGCAAAUUUCACCAUUAUUUGAAGUAUUUGACAUAUUUUCUUAUCACAUCUGUCUGGUUCCUUACUUAAAAGCACAAGAAUCUCAAUGUAGCCAUCCGACUUCAUAACGAUACAAUCAUGGCACCUCCUUUGAAGAAGUAUCAUUACAUUAUCCCUUUUGGCACCUGUUGUAAAAAGAAGAGUAAUUAAAAUACAUUUAACAUUUGAGAUGAAAUUUUUAACAUCAGAAUUAUAGUAUUAUAGUUCACAAGUGAAGAUUAUUAUUUACACAAGUAAAAAAUGUGGAAAAAGUUGAAGAAGACAAAAGAUAACAAAACUAGUAUGCUACAAAUUCUUUGAAAGCUUAAAAAUUAAACAUGUAUAUGAUUUUUAUAUCUUUAUAUAAUUUUCUCUUUUAGUCCUUUUAUGUUCUGAUUGAUCAUUUUGUGAAUGUUAAUAAGUUUGAACAAAUAAUUAAUCUGCAGUUAAAAGGUUUGAUAGUGGCUGGAAGAAGCAGACACAAAGAAAUCCAUAAUUAAACUCCACUGACACAAAUGUUUUCACCAAAACUCUUACCUGUGCUGUCAAUCUCAGUUACGGUGCUGUUCCCGUAGUGAAGUUUUGCAGUUAAAUUUUUACACUGCCCAAACCUGAUUUAAUUAGUAGUCAAAAGAUUUAAAGAAUGAAAAAAAAAAUUAAAUGACAAAAUAAGUUAUGAAGCACAAACACUGGACAACAUACUUAUAAAUGCUGUUUAUACUGUAAGAAAAUUAGUUACAUUUUCACUGAAAAGGUGGCUUCAUAGAUGUUUGCUUUUUCCAUUGCCGCAAUGUCCACAGAGGUACUGAAAGGCAGGACACUGAAUGCAGUAGCCCAGCAGCUGUUUGAGGACAUGGCUAUAACGUACCAUUUCCCAGUCAGCUGAAAUGCAGACAUUGUUUGUUUGUUCAUUCGUUUUAUUAGUUUUUGUCUUUUGCUUUGCAAAUGUUUUGCACUAGUCAGACACAUUUAACACUAUUCAUGAAAUAAAAAUUUGCAGAAAUCGAUUACAUAGGUUCAGUUUCAUUUUACUUUAAUAUCAGUUUCAAAACUAUAAUGUUAGCUAUAAAGGUUUAAAAGAGACUUACAUCUUGAUCACUAUCUGCUGUUUUUAGAUACCUCUCACAGGCCACUGAUGCAGGCUGGCACACAGAAAUGAAAUUCAGCACAAGAACAGCGACACAAAAAGCUUUCAUCUUUGCUCAGUAUGAGUUCACUUCUGCUGAUUCUUCGUCUUCUUCGGGUUUAAACUGACCGGUUAGUUUUCUGCCACAGUCACCCACCCCUAUUUAAGAGGAAAUAAAGUGAAUGACCUCAAAUGCCAUCAUUUCCAGCAACGACCACAUUUACCAAACACCAUCUAGGUCACAAAC